AGCUUGCGUUUCCUGAUGUUGUGUACUUGGUUGAUGCAAUUGAAAGGGGAGAAGAGCUUAUCAAAGCGUGAGCUGAAUCUUACCAAACCUGGUGACGCAAGCCUCCCAUAAGGAAUGAAUUGAAUGUAACAACCAAAGAAGUUCUUAGUCAAGCAGAUUUCAGGGAGAAGAGCACGGUGGAGAGAAUGAGAAGUGUUACUCAGCAAAAGUUUUCGAACUUGGCUUCACAUUUUUACAACAAUGGCAGGCACUGCCACAAGGCCUUUGCAAUCAAAUGCAACA